CCCUUAGAUGUUCUGGGCCGCACGCGCGCUACACUGAUGAAUUCAACGAGCUCCUAACCUAGGCCGAAGGGUCCGGGUAAUCUUUGAAAUUUCAUCGUGAUGGGGAUAGAUUAUUGCAAUUAUUAAUCUUCAACGAGGAAUUCCUAGUAAGCGCGAGUCAUCAGCUCGCGUUGAUUACGUCCCUGCCCUUUGUACACACCGCCCGUCGCUCCUACCGAUUGAAUGAUUUAGUGAGGACUUCGGACUGGGACCGAUGCGGCUUUCGGGCUGCGUCGGUAUUCUGGAAAGAUGUCCAAACUGUAUCAUUUAGAGGAAGUAAAAGUCGUAACA
rnacentral:rRNA from 1 species